rnacentral:rRNA from 1 species
AGUGAACGCUGGCGGUAGGCCUAACACAUGCAAGUCGAACGGCAGCACAGUAAGAGCUUGCUCUUACGGGUGGCGAGUGGCGUACGGGUGAGGAAUACAUCGGAAUCUACUUUUUCUUGUGGGUUAACGUAGGGAAACUUACGCUAAUACCUCAUACGACCUACGGGUGAAAGCAGGGGAUCUUCGGACCUUGCGCGUUUGAUUGAGCCGAUGUCGGAUUAGCUAGUUGGCGGGGUAAAGGCCCACCAAGGCGACGAUCCGUAGCUGGUCUGAGAGGAUGAUCAGCGACAGUGGAACUGAGAAACGGUCAAGACACCUACGGGAGGCAGCAGUGGGGAAUAUAGGACAAUGGGCGCAAGCAUGAUCCAGCAAUACCGAGUGGGUGAAGAAGGCCUUCGGGUUGUAAAGCCCUUUUGUUGGGAAAGAAAAGCAGCAGGUUAAUACCCCGAUGUUGUGACGGUACCCAAAGAAUAAGCACCGGCUAACUUCGUG